rnacentral:rRNA from 1 species
UCCGUAGGUGGAUAAUUAAGUCAGAGGUGAAAUCCUGCAGCUCAACUGUAGAAUUGCCUUUGAUACUGGUUAUCUUGAGUCAUUAUGAAGUGGUUAGAAUGUGUAGUGUAGCGGUGAAAUGCAUAGAUAUUACACAGAAUACCGAUUGCGAAGGCAGAUCACUAAUAAUGUACUGACACUGAGGGACGAAAGCGUGGGGAGCGAACAGGAUUAGAUACCCUGGUAGUAC